UUUUUGGUAAUAAUUUAAAGUCUAAUCUGCCCACUGAUUUAAAUUAAAGGGCUGCAGUAUAUUGACUGGACAAAGGUAGCAUAAUCAUUAGUUUUUUAAUUGAAAACUUGUAUGAAGGAUUUGAUGAAAUAUAAACUGUCUCUUAUUUAAAAUUAAAAAUUUAUUUUUUAGUUAAAAAGCUAAAAUAAUUUUAAAAGACGAGAAGACCCUAUAGAGUUUUAUAUUAAAUUAUUUUAUAAUUAUUUAUAUAAUUAAAAAUUAAAAAUGAAUUUAAUAUUUUAUUGGGGUGAUAGAAAAAUUAAAAAAACUUUUUUUAAAUUAUUAACAUAGAUAUAUGAAUAAAUGAUCCAUAAUUAAUGAUUAUAAGAAAAAAUUACCUUAGGGAUAACAGCGUAAUAUUUUUUUUUAGUUCAUAUAAAAAAAAAAGUUUGCGACCUCGAUGUUGGAUUAAGAUAAAAUUUAAAUGCAAAAGUUUAAAAGUUUUGAUCUGUUCGAUCAUUAAAAUCUUACAUGAUCUGAGCUCAAACCGGA
rnacentral:rRNA from 1 species